rnacentral:snRNA from 1 species
AUGCUUGCUUUGGCAGCACAUAUACUAAAAUUGGUGCAAUACAGAGAAAACCAGCAUGGACUCUGCACAAGGAUAACGAGUAAAUUUGUGAGGCAUUCCAUAUAUUU